CAAGAAAGACAUGGAUCUGUUUGAGCAAGUCUAGAGGAGGGCCAUGAAAAUGGUCAGAAAGUUGGAACACCUCUCCUAUGAAGGAAGGCCAAGACAGCUGGGGUUGUCCACUCUUGGAGAAGAGAAGGCUCAAGAAAGACCUUACUGCAGCCUUUCAAUAUAUAAAGGUUGCUUAUAAGAAAGAUGAAGAGAGACUUUUUACCAAGGCCUGUAGUGACAGGACAAGGGGCAACGGUUUUAAACUGAAAGAGGAUAGCUUUAGAUUGGACAUAAGGAAGAAGUUUUUUAUGAUGAGGAUGGUGGGACACUGGAAGAGGUUGCCGGGAGAAGUUGUGGAAGCCCAUCAUUGGAAGUGUUCAAGAUAAAGCUUUGUCCUGCAGCUUGAGCAAUACAGAAGGUUUUGGUUUUUAUGUAGGUAAUAACUUGCCAUGGUCAGCACAAUAGGUACACAGAGGCCACAAAUACAAAAAAACCAAAGGUCCACAGGAAGAAAAUUAUGCUUCUCAAAGAUUUGGAUGCUGGAAUAAACUUCAGCAAAGACAAGUUAGACAGCAGAUAGCUGGCAAGAAGAUAAAGGAGAUAUGUUCAGUUAAUAAAUCACAUCUCUGAACUCCUAA